CCCUGAGAAAGAUUUCAGCAAUUUAUAAACACCAAGAGACAAGGCAUAGUUAAAAUAUUUCCAGAAUAUUUCCUGCUGUGUUUUGAUAAAUCGAAAUAUCUCUAGUGGAAUAUAUAAAACCAACGAAAAAUCGAGGGAGAGAGGAGAGAAUAUGAACUGGGUACCACACUUCAGUUAGCAGGUGUUGUUGGGACGUUGUUGUCCAGAUGUUCGAAAUACGGAGAGAAGUCUUAAGGCAGGAAUAAUCAUCUUAUUUACGAUGAAUGCCGAGAGCACUGGUGAGGGUCCUCCUGGACGACUGAUGAUGGAGGAGAACAGCCCAAGGAAAAGGAACUGAAGGAGAGAAUUGCGGCCUUGCGAGACACCAUCGAGUGCCAGAGAGAGCAGCAGGUGAACUUGGACAGGAUAAUUCUUCAGCUGCAACAGAGGAUCGACCGCUUGAAGCUGAAGGAGAACGAUGAAGAGAAGAAGGAAAAACAGCAGCUGGAAGACAAAAUCCUGAAGAAACAGAAGAAAAUCAGCAUCUGAUGGACAAGACAAAAGAAUUUGGACAGAGAAACGAUGCCAGGUUGAGAGGCAAGAGAGACUCCUAGGACAGAAGGAGAAAGAGCUACAGGUGAAGACCGCAGAAGCGGCGCAAGAUGGCGAGGCUCAUCCAGGAAGAAAAGGACGCGAGCGAAAAGCAAGAAUCCGGCAGGAAAGACGUGGAGGUCAGGUUGCAGCGUCUGCAGAAUGAAGUGGAAGACAUGACGAAGGAAAAGGGUGGAAUCCAGCGUGAAGAUAAGGUUGCGUAGCUGAAGAUGGACGAGCUGACAUGCCUUUUUUGAAGAAGGAAAUGGUCGGCAAUCAAUCCGGUGGAGAGGAAGACUGGUGUCCAGGCCGAACUGAAGGAGCAGCGGGGAGAUGAGGCCCGACAGACGAGAUGAGCGAAGGAGAAAUUGAUUUGCAAGCGGAAGAACCUGAAGGGGAAUUACAGAUGCCUGACGAAGGACAAUUGGAAAGAGCCGAGCAAGUGCCCAGCUUCAAGGAGUAGCAGGAUCCAGUCUAAGCUCGAAUCACGAAGACGGAUCAUAUUUUGAAAAUGAGAGAAUGUUUGUUGUAUGGAAAUUUGUUUUGAAUUGAAAUAAAUAAAGGUUGAGAGGCAAGAGACUCCUAGGACAGAAGGGAAAAGAGCUACAGGUGAAGACCGCAGAAGCGGCGCAGAUGGCGAGGCUCAUCCAGGAAGAAAAGGACGCGAGUGAAAAGCAAGAAUCCGGCAGGAAAGACGUGGAGGUCAGGUUGCAGCGUCUGCAGAAUGAAGUGGAAGACAUGACGAAGGAAAAGGGUGGAAUCCAGCGUGAAGAUAAGGUUGCGAGCUGAAGAUGAACGAGCUGACAUGCCUUUUUUGAAGAAGGAAAUCGUCGGCAAUCAAUCCGGUGGAGAGGAAGACUGGUGUCCAGGCCGAACUGGAAGGAGCAGCGGGGAGAUGAGGCCCGACAGACGAGAUGAGCGAAGGAGAAAUUGAUUUGCAAGCGGAAGAACCUGAAGGGGAAUUACAGAUGCCUGACGAAGGACAAUUGGAAAGUGCUGGAGCAAGUGCCCAGCUUCAAGGAAUAGCAGGAUCCAGUCUAAGGUGGACUCACGAAGACGGAUCAUAUUUUGAAAAUGAGAGAAUGUUUGUUGUAUGGAAAUUUGUUUUGAAUUGAAAUAAAUAAAGGUUAUUUACAAA